rfam:Salmo salar isolate Sally breed double haploid chromosome ssa20, whole genome shotgun sequence.
UCCCGUGUGGCUAAGUUGAUAGAGCAUGGUGUUUGCAACGCCAGGGUUGUAGGUUCGAUUCCCACGGGGG